GACGAACGCUGGCGGCGUGCUUAACACAUGCAAGUCGAACGGAAAGGCCCUGCUUUUGUGGGGUGCUCGAGUGGCGAACGGGUGAGUAACACGUGAGUAACCUGCCCUUGGCUUUGGGAUAACUUCAGGAAACUGGGGCUAAUACCGGAUAGGAGCUCCUGCUGCAUGGUGGGGGUCGGAAAGUUUCGGCGGUUGGGGAUGGACUCGCGGCUUAUCAGCUUGUUGGUGGGGUAGUGGCUUACCAAGGCUUUGACGGGUAGCCGGCCUGAGAGGGUGACCGGCCACAUUGGGACUGAGAUACGGCCCAGACUCCUACGGGAGGCAGCAGUGGGGAAUAUUGCACAAUGGGCGGAAGCCUGAUGCAGCAACGCCGCGUGCGGGAUGACGGCCUUCGGGUUGUAAACCGCUUUCGCCUGUGACGAAGCGUGAGUGACGGUAAUGGGUAAAGAAGCACCGGCUAACUACGUG
rnacentral:rRNA from 1 species